ACUGGGGUGGAGCGGCGGCCGGUGGCUGGCCGGACGGCGGCAGCUGGCGGCUGGACAGUCCGGCGGGAGAGAGCACGGGAGAGAGAAGAAGAGAAAGAGAGAAGAAGAGAAAGGGAAGGAAAAAAAAUGGGUUGGGCCUCCCAACCGGUCCAACCUUAUAUCAACCCAAUUCCAAAAAUGAAACACUUCGAAAAAUAAUACCCGAAUAAAAAUUACCUUUUACUAGUUAAAAUUUACUAUUUUUACCGUCGUCGUAUUUUCCUCAUACGAAUAAUCCUCCGCACAUAAUCGUCCCCGAAACCCCUCUAAUGACCAAUUAACUAUUAACUCAAUGAUGGAGACGGUAAAAUUCUUAUUAUAAUCAGGCUAGUAAAUAAGAUAAAAAUAUAAGGGUCGGGAUGUGACAAUUCUCCCCUCCUUAUAAAAAUUUCGUCCUCGAAAUUUACGUACCUGUCAUCCGAAGAGAUAGGGAUACUGCUGCAUCAUUUGCUCCUCUGAUUCCCAAGUAGCUUCUUCUACUUGACGACUCCUCCAAAGCACCUUGACAAGCGGGAUUGUCUUGUUCCUAAGCACUUGCUCAUUUCGGUCGAGAAUCUGAACCGGUUCCUCUUCAUAGGACAAGUCUCUCGUCAAACUAAUCGGCUACUCUUGCAGCACAUGAGAAGGAUCGGCAAUAUACUUGCGAAGCAUGGAUACAUGAAAGACAUUAUGUAUCCUAGCUAACUUUGGAGGCAAGGCUAAUCGAUAAGCAAGUGAGCCAACUCGCUCUAUUAUCUCAUACGGGCCAAUAUACCUCGGGCUAAGCUUCCCACGCUUCCCGAAGCGCACAACCCCUUUCCAAGGAGAUAAUUUCAGGAACACCCAAUCACCCACUUGAAAUUCAAGAUCUCUCCUACGGACAUCUGCAUAACUCUUCUGCCUACUUUGAGCAGUCUUGAGUCUAUCUCUAACCACUUUAAUCUUCUCAUUAGUAACAUGGAUUAACUCUGGGCCACAAAGCUCUUUUUCCCCCACUUCAUUCCAACACAAAGGCGUGCGACACUGCCUCCCAUAAAGAGCCUCAAAGGGAGCCAUACCAAUGCUAGAAUGAUAGCUAUUAUUAUAGGAAAAUUCCAUCAAAGAUAGGUUCUUAUCCCAACUCCCUCUGAACUGCAUGGCACAAGCCCUCAACAUAUCCUCCAAAGUCUGAAUAGUCCUCUCGGACUGCCCAUCAGUCUGAGGAUGAAAAGCAGUACUGAAGAGUAAUUGGGUACCUAAAGCUGCCUGAAGAGCUCCCUAGAAUUUAGAAGCAAAACGAGGAUCCCGAUCUGACACUAUUGAUUCAGAAACACCAUGAAGCCUCACAAUUUCGUUCACAUAAAGCUCCGCCAAUUUAUCCAAUUUAUACUUCUUUCCCACUGGCAAGAAAUGUGCAGACUUGGUGAGUCUAUCCACAAUCACCCGAAUACCGUCAUGNNNNNNNNNNNNNNNNNNNNCAACCAAAACCCCAUUUGAGUUAUGGAAGAAUAGAAAGCCUAGCAUUUAUCACACACAUGUUUGGGGUUGUAAGGCCGAAGCUAGGCCUUAUAAUCCAAACGAGAGCAAGCUAGAUCUUAAAACAGUGUCUGCAUCUUUUAUUGGCUACUGUGAGCAUUCCAAAGGCUACAAGUUCUACUGUCCCACACACUCCCACAGAAUCAUAGAGACAAACAAGGCAGUGUUCCUAAAUGAAACCAAUUAUUCUCAUUCUUUUGAGGAUUUCAUUUUUGAGGAGCUUACUGAAAAUGUUUCUAAUGCUGUCACUUCACCACAACCUCAACCUGUAAUUUUAGAAACCACACCAGUUGUUUUCAGUGGGAUUGAUGCACCUACCACUAUCCCAAAUCCUCCACCACCACCAGUUAUUAGAAGAUCACAGAGAGAAAGAAGAUCAAGACUUGAAGCAUUGUCUACUGAUUUUCAGGUGUAUGAUGUUGAGGUAGAUUAUGAUGCUGGUGAGAUUGAAGACCCCAAAACCUUCAAAGAAGCCAUUGCUGGAGAUCAUUCACAUGAGUGGGAGAAAGCUAUGAUUUCAGAAAUGAAAUCUAUGCAUGUGAAUGAUGUCUGGGAACUGGUUGAGCCUUCAAAGUCGCAGAAAGCAAUUGGCUGCAAGUGGGUGUACAAGACCAAGCUACAUGUAGAUGGAAGCAUAGAGAGGUACAAAGCAAGGCUAGUAGCAAAAGGUUAUACACAGAAAGAAGGUAUGGACUACACUGAGACAUUUUCUCCAGUCUCAACCAAAGAUGCUUUCAGAGCUAUCAUGGCUAUGGUUGCUCAUUAUGACAUGGAGCUGCACCAAAUGGAUGUAAAGACAGCUUUUCUGAAUGGAGAGUUGAGUGAAGAGAUCUUUAUGAAGCAGCCCGAGGGAUUUAUUGAACCUGGGAAGGAGCAUCUAGUUUGUAAGCCUAACAGGUCCAUAUAUGGAUUGAAACAAGCUUCAAGACAGUGGUAUUUGAAGUUUGAUUCAGUCAUCAGUGGUUUUGGAUUCAAGGAGAAUCAAGUUGAUGAGUGUGUUUACAUGAAAUCAGAAGGUAAAAAUUUUAUUUUCUUAAUUUUAUAUGUAGAUGACAUCUUAUUGGCUAGUACAAAUUUAGACCUGCUGAAAGAGACUAAGUCUUUCUUGUCAAAGAAAUUCGACAUGAAAGAUUUAGGUGAGGCUAAGUAUGUACUGGGGAUAGAGAUAAAGAGAGAUAGAUCGAGGUUCCUACUUGGUUUAUCACAGCAGAGCUACAUCAACACAGUUUUGAAGAGGUUUGAUAUGCAUAAUUGUGCAGCUGGUGCAAUUCCAAUGUCAAAAAGUGACAAGNNNNNNNNNNNNNNNNNNNNAUCACCUUCUCUGUCUCAUAUUAAGUCUCUCUUUGAGUGAACACAUACGAAGACUCUUGUGAUCGGUAAAUAUCUGACACUUGGCUCCAUAAAGAUAGUGUCUCCACAACUUGAGAGCAAAAACUACCGCUGUAAGCUCCAGAUCAUGAGUAGGAUAAUUCCCCUCAUGUGGCUUCAAUUGCCUAGAAGCGUAGGCAAUAACUCGAUCAUGCUGCAUCAAAACUCCACCUAGACCUCGUCUAGAAGCAUCACAAUAGACCACAUAUUCUCCACUAUCAUCCGGAAGUGCCAAAACAGGAGCACUUGUCAAGCAAUUCUUCAAUUCUUGAAAACUUUGCUCGCACUGAUCUGACCAUUCAAACUUAACCCCCUUCAUGGUCAACUUUGUGAGAGGAGCAGCAAUCUUACCUAGCUCAAGAGGGAGUGAGUCCUUUUAGGGCAAGGCUGCUGGGUUGGAGGGCUACAAAACCAUACCAAGUUUGCCUGGAUUGGUGGCCGGAGGAGGGAGUUCCAGCGAAAUGCUUCCCGGCGUUUCCGGCGGGUUUUCUCCUCUUCCGGCGGGUUAGAGGCUUGGGGGCUAGGGCGGGGAGGGAGAGGAGGAGAUGGGGGUCCGAACUGGGGUGGAGCGGCGGCCGGUGGUUGGCCGGACGGCGGCAGCUGGCGGCUGGACAGUCCGGCGGGGAGAGAGCACGAGAGAGAGAAGAAAGAGAAAAGAGAGAAGAAGAGAAAGGGAGGAAAAAAAAUGGGUUGGGCCUCCCAACCGGUCCAACCUUAUAUCAACCCAAUUCCAAAAAUGAAACACCCCGAAAAAUAAUACCCGAAUAAAAAUUACCUUUUACUAGCUAAAAUUUACUAUUUUUACCGUCGUCGUAUUUUCCUCAUACGAAUGAUCCUCCGCACAUAAUCGUCCCCGAAACCCCUCUAGGGACCAAUUAACUAUUAACUCAAUGACGGAGACAGUAAAAUUCUUAUUAUAAUCAGGCUAGUAAAUAAGGUAAAAAUAUAAGGGUCGGGAUGUGACAAGAGAAAUGAUUUUAUCCUCCCGAGUUAUUCAAAAGUAAAUAACUGUAAUAUUAAAGCUUACUUGCUAGUUUGCCAAAUAAACUGCGUUUAUAGGAGCUGCUUUGUAAUUUUUUCAAGCUUAAUUCCACGUGAGUGCGGCGAAGUUGCUCGCGUAAUUCCGUUGUAAUUCGUCGCGCAAUUAUGUCAUGAAAAACAAAAUAUAUGGUUAGCCAUAUUCACCAUAUAGAUAUAAACCAUAAAAACUUUCAAAAUUUGAACGAAAAAGCUAAAAAAUUAAGCUGAAGGAAGCCAAGAAUCAAUGGCAGACGGCAGCGGAAGAUUUGUUGCCGGAGGUUGUCGGACAACAGCGGUCGGGGAAGCAAGCGGACGGUGGCAGCGGUCGGACAGAUCGAGGAUCCGAGAGACUCUUUUGGCUUUUAGGGUUUCGAAAAAAUAAAAAACCAAUGGUGGGUUAUUAAUUCUAGGGUUUUGCUAUCAACUCAGGUUAGAGCAGAGUCCAUGAUAACGUGAUUAAGUAUAAACUGUAGAAAAUGAGCGAUAGAAAGAGAAUAUAGAAUCAUCAUUAUAUUCAUUGGUAGGAGCUCUUUAUAUAGUGAAUUACAAAAUAUCAAUAUGGUAAUGAUAAAGAAAUACAUAUUCAUAUUCUAACUACAUAUCAUGAUGACAUAAAGCCAAGAUACACAUAUGGAAUUUCUUAGAACAUAUAU
rnacentral:lncRNA from 1 species